rnacentral:rRNA from 1 species
UGGGGAAUUUUGCACAAUGGACGGAAGUCUGAUGCAGCGACGCCGCGUGAGGGAUGGAGGCCUUCGGGUUGUGAACCUCUUUCGCUCAUGGUCAAGCCGCAGCUUUGGGUUGUGGUGAGGGUAGUGGGUAAAGAAGCGCCGGCUAACUACGUGCCAGCAGCCGCGGUAAUACGUAGGGCGCGAGCGUUGUCCGGAAUUAUUGGGCGUAAAGGGCUUGUAGGCGGUUGGUUGCGUCUGCCGUGAAAUCCUCUGGCUUAACUGGGGGCGUGCGGUGGGUACGGGCUGGCUUGAGUGCGGUAGGGGAGACUGGAAUUCCUGGUGUAGCGGUGGAAUGCGCAGAUAUCAGGAGGAACACCGGUGGCGAAGGCGGGUCUCU